CUCGAAACCAAAGCAUAAUCCACACAAAGCCAAUUUUCUCAGAUCCAUUUCUAUACUUUCUUGAAAAAUGUCGCAACUCCCAAUCAAACUUGGUGCUACUACGACACCUCAAGUCGACGAGUACGGUAACCCGAUUCAACACGGCAUUGCCAAAACUGGCCACGGAACCGGAGGGAAGCACGACAGUGCCCGCACUGGAGUUGGUUACGGCACUGGCGCCGGGACCUUCGAUACCGGUCCUGAUGCACAUCAGCAACCACACACUACGCAUCGCCGCUCUGGGAGCUCAGGCUCCAGUUCAUCUGAGGAUGAUGGGCAAGGAGGAAGAAGAAAGAAGGGACUGACACAGAAGAUAAAGGAGAAGCUGCCAGGUGGGCACCAUGAUCAGGGCAGUGCUCCGAGUUAUGGAAGUUCAACUGCAGCUACUAACACAGCUCCAGGGGGUGUUCUUCACCAGACUGAGAGCCAGGAGAAGAAAGGAAUGAUGGAUAAGAUCAAGGAAAAGCUGCCUGGAAAGGGGGCACCAUGAAUAGAAUUAUAGAAUAGACACACACAUAUAUAUAUGGUGGCCGGAGAUUCAUAUAUACAUCAUAUAUAUAUAUAUAUAUAAUAUAUAUAUAAGAAGGGUAUUUGAAGCGCCUGUAACUUCAGAGUUGGUGUGUGUCUCUGCUUGAGUUUAGAGUGUGUUGCAAUGUUGUAAUAAAUGAUCAAAGCGCGUGUCUUCAAUCUGUGUACUCAUACGUACUACUAUAAUAUAUGCAUAUAUAGAUAGUACGUAUAUAUAUAUGUACUCUUCUCUCUCUCCAGUAAUAUAUGUUGUGCUUUGAUUAUUGUUA